rnacentral:piRNA from 1 species
UAUCACAGUGCGUCCAGUAUCAUUCUUGGU